rnacentral:rRNA from 1 species
GACGAACGCUGGCGGCGUGCUUAACACAUGCAAGUCGAGCGGUAAGGCCCUUUCGGGGGUACACGAGCGGCGAACGGGUGAGUAACACGUGGGUGACCUGCCCUCAGCUCUGGGAUAAGCCUGGGAAACCGGGUCUAAUACCGGAUAUGACUCCAUGACGCAUGUUGUGGGGUGGAAAGCCUUGUGCGGCUGAGGAUGGGCCCGCGGCCUAUCAGCUUGUUGGUGGGGUGANGGCCUACCAAGGCGACGACGGGUAGCCGGCCUGAGAGGGCGACCGGCCACACUGGGACUGAGACACGGCCCAGACUCCUACGGGAGGCAGCAGUGGGGAAUCUUGCGCAAUGGGCGAAAGCCUGACGCAGCGACGCCGCGUGAGGGAUGACGGGCCU